rnacentral:rRNA from 1 species
GGUCCCUAUCCGUCGCGGGCGUUGGAAAUUUGAGAGGAGCUGUCCUUAGUACGAGAGGACCGGGAUGGACUUACCGCUGGUGUACCAGUUGUUCUGCCAAGGGCAUUGCUGGGUAGCUAUGUAGGGAAGGGAUAAACGCUGAAAGCAUCUAAGUGUGAAGCCCACCUCAAGAUGAGAUUUCCCAUUUCUUUAAGAAAGUAAGAUUCCUGAGAGAUGAUCAGGUAGAUAGGUCAGGAGUGGAAGUACAGUGAUGUAUGGAGCGGACUGAUACUAAUCGAUCGAGGACUUAACCAAU